CAUCUAAGCAUGAAGCCCCCCUCGAGAUGAGAUUUCCCAUCACUUUAUGUGAGUAAGAUCCCUGAAAGAUGAUCAGGUAGAUAGGUCAGAGGUGGAAGUGUGGCGACACAUGGAGCUGACUGAUACUAAUCGAUCGAGGACUUAACCAAA
rnacentral:rRNA from 1 species